rnacentral:rRNA from 1 species
CUUAAAUGAAUUGACGGGGCCCGCACAAGCGGAGGAACAUGUGGUUUAAUUCGAUGAUACGCGAGGAACCGUUACCUGGGCUAGAACGCAAUCGGAAUCAGGCCGAAAGGUCUGCGCCAGCGAUGGCCGCUUGCGAGGUGCUGCAUGGUUGUCGUCAGCUCGUGCCGUGAGGUGUCGGGUUAAGUCCCGCAACGAGCGCAACCCCUGCAUCCAGUUGCCAUCGGGCGAGCCGGGCACUCUGGAGGGACUGCCGGCGACAAGCCGGAGGAAGGUGGGGAUGACGUCAAGUCAUCAUGGCCCUUAUGUCCAGGGCGACACACGUGCUACAAUGGCCGGCACAGCGGGAAGCGGAGGGGCGACCCUGAGCGGAUCCCUUGAAAGCCGGUCCCAGUUCGGAUUGCAGUCUGCAACUCGACUGCAUGAAGUUGGAAUCGCUAGUAAUCGCGGAUCAGCCAAGCCGCGGUGAAUACGUUCCGGGCCUU